UGAAUAAUAUGAAGCUUAACUUUUUUUUUUUACAAAGUGCUAUGUCAAUCAAUGACUUGAAAAUUUUCAGUUGGAUAUCGCUGUUUCAUUUGUAGUAUGCUUAAUCAAGAGAAGAGAUGCGAACUUAUGCCGUGUUAAAAAAAUUGUUAUCUUUUAGCAUUCUAAUGGUUUUAUUCAUGUCAACGAGCUGGUACUACCAUAUUUUACUUAUCUUGUCACAUGGUUCUUAUUUUAGCUUGUAAAUGCACAAAAAUGCACUUUAUGUCCUUUUUUUCUCAUAGGGAUGAAAACUGCCUUAGUUUUCUUCCAACUCCACAACCUCACAAAAAGAAUAAGCAAUAUUGAAAGAUAAGAAUAAGCAAUAUUGAAAGAUAGAAAAAGGAUGCACCGGAUUUGAGGCCUUGUUUAUAUUUCUGUAUCAUUAAAUUUGUUCCAAUUUGUUGCAUUGCUUUACCUUUUUAUUCUUUUUGUGAAAAGUCAGUCAUUAUUCCUUUUGCUUAAAAAAACAAUAAUAAAUUGUUGAUAUGCUAGCUGUUGUCAAUUGAUUCUAAUUUGUAGAUUAUGUCCUGAUUGUUUUCUUCAAGGUUGUUUAAGUUUUCUUUUUAUUUACAGGAGUUUUAUGUAUGAAGCUUUAGAUGUAACACUGGUUUUCUUAUUGCAAUUAUUUUGCAUAGCUACCCUAUAUACUUGUAUCACUACUUUGCUUGAGGAUUUGAAUAGGGGUUUCCUUGCUUAAGCUUUAGUGUACAACCUAUCAAUUCUUGUUUAGUGCGAUAUUGUUAUACCAAAUAGGCACUUAAUCCUUGCCAACAUUGUUUUGAACAAAGAAUGGAACGACUAUUGAAAAUCAGAGCCUUAUCUAGCCCCGAUUGCUUCCUUGGUUGUUCUGCCAUCGAAAUGCUAAUUUUCGAGCUGAUCACUGCCAAGCAAUUGUUCUGUAUGAUCUAUCUUCUACUCCUUUAAAUUUAUGUUCAUAUACAAGUUAAUCUUGAAUCUAGUAUAUAUGUUGAUAUGAUUGCCCAAUGAUGGAAAUCUUUAUUUAUUGAGCAGUUCGGUGGACAGCAUGACAUAGCCAAGCCAAACAGGCCCUUAUUCAUCAACACUUGCCUCUACUUCUAUGGCUAUCUUCUCUUUUUCUUUUUGUCUUUCUUUCACACACACGAACACACAUUAGCAGUGUGUUGGAUGUGUAUAUCGUAGUAUAUAAGAAAAUUGCAUUUUCAUAGGUUUAUACAUUUGAGAUGUUUAUUGGUAGAGGCAUUUGAUUACUUAUGGGGAUAAAUCAUUGAUGAUUUGAGCAAAGAGGUUUGGGAUAUGAGGGCACCCCAAUAUGAUUGAUGUUCUUUGUGGUGUUAAUAUCUAGAUUUGUUUUUUCCCACUCGAGAUUCAUGAUUUAUAUUUUUUAUCUGUGAAUGUCUUGUGAAAAAGUGUAGUUAUAUAAAGAACAUUGGAUAUUAGUGACUCAUGAUAUGUGCAUUGGGCUCUGGGUAGUUGAUAUACCUAUUUUUCUUAGUUUUGGCCUAGUUAGAGGGUGAGGGAGGAUGAAAGCCAAGUGAAAUUUUUGCAUAAAAUUUUAGGAAAAUAUUAUUUUUGUUAUAUAUCUGUGGUUGGAUUUUCCAUGGACUCAUAAUAGGAUCUGAGAGAUUUUCUAAGGAUAGUGUAUGAGAACUUGUAUAUUUCACUUGCUGGUACUUGGUAAUUUUAGUACUUGUGUCAUUUGUUUGGAAAUAGAAUUUUUGGACAUUUAAUGUCAGAUUUUGGCAUCAAAGAUCAAGGUGAAGGGCUUACAUUGAUGUACAACAAGAAAGUAUUGAUAAAAUUGUUAAAGCUCAGGUUUUUGUUUUUGUAAUUAACCCUUAUUAUUAUCGUGCAAAGGCUGUUGACAAAAUUGAUAAAUGUGUUAGUGAUUUUUUUUGACUGUGGUUUUGUGUGGUUUCUUAGGUACUCUUUCAUGAAUAAUAUGAAGCUUAACUCUUUAUAAAACUGUUGUGUCAAUAUGAGAUCAUGGUUUGAUAAUUUCCAAUUGGAUAUGACCGUUUCAUUUGUAGUUUGCUUAAUUAAGAGAAUAGAUGCCAAUCUUACGUGAUGCUAAGAAAAUUGGGUUAUCUUUUUUUGGCUUUUGAAUGGUUUUAUUCAUGUCAGCAAGCUAGCACUAUCAUAUUUUGCUUAUCUUAUCAUAAGGUUCUGAUUUUAGUUUGUAAAUGCCCAAAAAUGCCCUUCAUGUUAUUUUUUUCUUAUAGGGCUGAAAACUGCCAUAAUUUUAUUCCAACUCCACAACUACACAAAAGAACAAGUAGUAUUGAAAGAUAUAAAAAAGAUGCUCAGGGAUUUGUUGCUCUAUCUAUAUUUCAAUAUCAUUAAUUUUGUUCCAUUUUGUUAUAUUGCUUGACCUUUUUAUUAUUUUUUGUGAAAAAUCAGUGAUUUUUCCUUUUUCUUUACAGCACUUCCGUGGAUUGAUAUGCUUUCUCUUGUCAGUUGAUUUUAAUUUGUAGAUUUUGUCAUGAUUAUUUUCCUACAAGAUACUUAAAUUUUAUUUUUUAAUUGUGAGUGUUUAAAGCAUGAACUUUUAGAAAUAACACUAGUUUUCUUAUUGCAAUUAUUUUGUAUAGCUACUCUAUGUGCUUGUAUAACUACUUUGCUUGAGAAUUAGAAUAGGGGUUUCCUUGCUUAAGCUUCCAUGUACAACCUAUCAAUUUUUGUUUAGUGCGAUGUUAUUAUACCAAUCUGGCACUUAAUCCUUACCAACAAUGUUUUAAACAAAGCAAGGAACAGCUCUUUGAAAUCACAACCUUCUUUAGCCCUAGCUGAUUUUUUGCCUGUUCUGCCAUUGAAAUGCUAAUUUGUCAGUCUGAUCACCAACAAGUACUUGUUCUGUUUGAUCUAUCUUGUACUUCUUUAAAGUUGCGUUCAUAUACAAGUGAAGAUUGAAUCUAGUAUAUAUCUCGAGAUGUUUACUUGAGGAUAGAAAUAUUUUUUUAUUGAGCGGUCAAAUGGACAGCACGUCAAAGCCAAGCCAAAUGGGCCCUUUGUUGUCAACACUUGCCUCUACUUCCUUGGCUACCUUCACUUUUUCUUAUUCUUUUGAGCGCUUGUGUGCACACACACUAACGGUGCCUUGGAUGUGUCUAUUGUAGUGUACAAGCAACAAGGAGCUUUUUCAUUGGUAUAUACAUUGGAGAUGUUUAUCGGUAGAGGCAUUUGAUGACUUAUGGGGAUAAAUCAUUGGUGAUUUGAUCAAAGAGGUUUGGGAUAUGAGGGCAUUCGAAUAUGAUUGAUGUUCUUUGUGGCGUUAAUAUCUAGAUUUGUUUUUUCCCACUCGAGAUUCAUGUUUUUUAUCUUUUAUAUCUAUGAGUGUCUUGUGAAAAAGUGUAGUUAUAUAAAAACAUUGGAUAUUAGUGACUGAUGGUGUAUGCAUUGGGCUCUGGGUAGUUUAUAUACCUAUUUUCUCAGUUUUGGCUUAGUCAGAGAGUGAGGGAGGAAGGGGGAGGCUGAAAUGCAUUUGAAAUUUGUAUAUAAAAUUUUAAGAAAAUGUUCUUUUUCUUUCAUAUUUGCAGUUGCAUUUUGCAUAGACUCAUAAUAGGAUCUGAGAGGUUUUCUAAUGACAGUGUAUGAGAAUUCUUAUCUUUCACUUGUUGGUUCAUGGUAAUUUUAGUACUUGUGUCAUUUGUAUGGAAAUAGAAUUUUUCUAUGUUUAAUGUCAGAUUUUGGCAUCAAAGAUCAAGUGGAAGGCCUCACGUUUUUCUACAGCAAGAAAAUACUAACAAAAUUGUUAAAGCUCAACUUUUUGUUUUGGUAAUUAACCCUUAUUAUUAUCGUGCAAAAGCUGUUGACUAAAUUGUUAAUGCUGUUAGUGAUUUUAAUUGGCUGUAGUUCCUUGUUUUUUUUUUCUAGGUACUCUUUCUUGAUAAAUAUGAAGCUUAACUCUUUUUUGACAUAGUGUUGUGUCAACAUGAGAUCAUGAUUUAAAAAUUUUCAGCUGGAUAUCACCCUUUCAUUUGCUUUAUGCUUAUUUCAUGAGAAGAGAUGCUAAUCUUAUCCCAUGUUAUAAAAAUUGGGUUGUCUUUUUUUGGCAUUCUAAUGGUUUUAUUCACGUCAACGAGCUAGUACUACCAUAGUUUGCUUGUCUUGUAAUACGGUCCUUAUUUUACUUUGUAAAUGUGAAUAAAUGCACUUUAUGUCUCUUUUUUUCUCCGAGGGUUGAAAACUGCCAUGGUUUUCUUUCAAGUUUUUAACUACACAAAAGAACAAGCAGUUUUGAAAGAUAAGAAAAAGAUGCAUUGAGAGUUGUGGCCUUGUCUAUAAUUCAUAUUAUUAAAUUUGUUCUAAUUAGUUGUAUUGCUUGGACUUUUUAUACUUUUCGUGAAAAAUCAGUCUUUAUUCCUUUUGCUUUACAGCACUUCCAUGGAACUUUGAUUUACUAGCUCUUUUGAAUUGAUUUUAGUUUGUAGGUUAUGCCUUGAUUCCUUUUUCCAAGGUUACUUAAAUGUUAUUUUUACUUGUUGGUGUUUCAGGUAUGAAGCUUUAGAAGUUAUAUUGGUUUUCUUAUUGCAGUUAUUUUGUAUGGCUACACUAUGUAGUUGUGUCACUAGUUUGCUUGAGGAUUAGAAUAGUGUUUUCCUUGCUUGACAUUUAGUGUACUACUUAUCAAUUAUUGUUUAGUUUGAUACUGUUAUACCAAAUAGGCACUUAAUCCUUACAAACACUGUUUUGGACAAGGCAUUGAAGGGCUAUUUAAUAUCACUGCCUUCUCUAGCCCCAGUUGUUUCCUUGUCUCUUCCGCCCUUGAAAUGCUGAUUUUUUGGCUUGAUCAUGAUGAAGCAAUUGCUCUAUAUGAUUUAUCUUGUACUCCUUUAAAGUUAUGUUCAUAUACAAGUUAAGCUUGAAUCUAGUAGGAAAAUGUUAUUGGUAUACCUUUAUGUUCACCUUGGGCUACAUAAAGGUGUACCAAUGACAAAAAUAUUUCUCAUGAGGCGCAUGCAGGCGUGUGAGGCGCAUGGAGGUGAUGGGUAUUUCUGUUGUGUUGCCUAAGAUGUACAAAAAUGAUGUACAAGUAGCAUGACUCGAAUCUAGUAUAUAUCUCGAUAUGUUUGCUCGAUGAUGGAAAUCUUUAUUUAUUGUGUGGUCCCAUGGAUAGCACAAUACAACCAAGGCAAACAGGCCCUUUGUUGUCAACACUUGCCUCUACUUCUAUGGCUACAAUCUCUUUUUCUUUCUCUCUUUCUUUCACACACACACUAACAUUGUCUUGGAUGUGUUUAUUAUAAUAUACAAGCAAAUAGCAUUUUUGUACGUUUAUACAUUGGGGAUGUUUAUUCGUAGACGCAUUUGAUGACUUAUGGGGAUAAAUCAUUGUUGAUUUGAUCAAAGAAGUUUGGGAUUUGAGGGCAUCCGAAUAUGAAAUGUUCUUUUUGGUGUUAAUAUUUAGAUUUAUUUCUUCUCAGACGAGAUUCAUAAUUUUAUCAGUUAUGUAUUUGAGUGUCUUUUUAAAAAGUAUUGUUCUAUGAAGAAUAUUGAAUAUUAGUGACUGAAUGAAUAUAUAUGCAUUGGGUUAUGGGAAGUUUAUAUUCCUAUUUUCUUUGUUUUGGCCUACUUAGUGAGGGAGAAGGGCGAGACUGAAACCCAUAUGAAAUUUUUACAUAAAAUUUUUAGAAAUGAUUGUUUUUCUCGUAUAUUUGCGGUUACAUUUUGGAUAGACUCAUAACAGAAUUUGAGAGGUAUUCUAAUGACAGUGUAUGAGAAGGCCUAUAUAUCACGUGCAGGUAUAUCGUAAUUUUAGUACUUGUGUCACUUGUUUGGAAAUAGAUGUUUUCUACAUUUAAUGUCAGAUUUUGGCAUCAAAGAUCAAGCGGAAGGCGUCACAUUUAUCUAUAGCAAGAAAGUUUUAAGAAAACUGUUAAAGCUCAGGUUUUAGUUUUGGUAAUUAACCCUUAAUAUUAUUGUGCAAAAGUUGUUGACAAAAUUGAUAAUGCUGUUAGUAAUUUUAAUUAGCUGUAGUUCCAUUUUUUUUUCCUGGGUACUCUUUCGUGAAUAAUAUGAAGCUUAACUCUUUUUUGACAGAGUGUUGUGUCAAUCUGAGAUCUUGUUUUAAAAAUUUUCAAUUGGAUGUCACCCUUUCAUUUGUAGUAUGCUUAUUAAAGAGAAGAAAGGCUAAUAUUUUGUCAUGUUAAAAAAAUUGGGUUAUCCUUUUUAAGCAUUCUAAUGGUUUUAUUCAUGUCAACGAGCUAGUACUACCAUAUUUUGCUUGUCUCGUCAUACAAUCCUUAUUUUAGUUUGUAAAUGCGAAUAAAUGAGCUUUAUGUCCUUUUUCUUUUUCUCAGAGUGGUGAAACCUGCCAUAGUUUUCAUCCAACUCCUAGACUACACAAAGGAACAAGCAGUUUUGAAAGAUAGGAAAUAGAUUCACUAGGAUUUGUGGCCUUAUCUAUAAUUCAAUAUCAUUAAAGUUUGUACCAAUUUGUUGUAUUGCUUGACCUUUUAUUCUUUUUGUGAAAAAUCAGUCAUUAUUCCUUUUGCUUUCCAGCACUUCCAUGAAACUUUGAUGUGCUCGCUCUUGUCAAUUGAUUUUAAUUUGUUGAUUAUCUCCUGAUUCUUUAAUUCAAGGUUACUUAAAUGUUAUUUUUACUUGUAGGUGUUUCAAGUAUGAAGCUUUAGAAGUUAUAGUGGUUUCCUUAUUGCAAUUAUUUUGUAUAGCUAUACUAUGUUGUUGUAUCACUAGCUUGUUAGAGGAUUAGAAUAGUGUUUUCCUUGCUUAAGCUUUUGUGUACUACCUAUCAAUUCUUGUUUAGUUUGAUAUUGUUAUACCAAACAGGCGCUUAAUUCUUACCAACACUAUUUUGAUCAAAGCAUGGAACAACUAUUUAAAUCACUGCCUUCUCUAGCUCCUGUUUUUCCUUGCCUCUUCCGAUUGCUGAUUUUUUGAUCUAAUCACUACCAAGCAGUUGCUCUGUAUGAUCUAUAUUGUACUCCUUUGAAGUUAUGUUCAUAUACAAGUUAAGUUUGAAUGUAGUAUAUAUCUUGAUACAUUUCCCUGAUGAUGGAAAUCUUUAUUUAUUUUGCGGUCCCAUGGACAACACAACAAUGCCAAGCCAAACGAGGCCGUAGUCGUCAACGAUUGCCUCUACUACUAUGGCUACCUUCUCUUUUACUUUCUCUCUUUCUUUUAAACACACUCACACAUAGACACACACACACACUAAUAGUUCCUUGGAUGUGUUUAUUGUAGUAUACAAGCAAAUAGCAUUUUCAUGCAUAUAUCCCUUAGAGAUGCUUAUUGGUAGAGGCAUUUGAUGACUUAUGGGGAUAAAUCAUUGAUGAAUUGAUCAAAGAUGUUUGGGAUUUGAAGGAACCGAAUAUGAUUGAUGUUCUUUGUGGUGUUACUAUUUAGGUUUGUUUUUUCUCACUUGAGAUUCAUUAUUUUAUCAUUUAUAUUUUUGAGUGUCUUGUGAAAAAUAGUUGUUUUAAAAAUAACAUUGGAUAUUAGUGACUGAAUAUAUAUGCAUUGAGCUUUGGGUAGUUGGAAUAUAUAUGCAUUGAGCUUUGACUGAAAAAUAGUUGUUUUAAAAAUAACAUUGGAAAAAUAGUUGUUUUGGCAUUAUCUAUAUUUCAAUACCAUUAAAUUUGUUCCAAUUUGUUGUGUUGCUUGACCUUUUUAUUCAUUCUGUUAAAAAUCAGUCAUUAUUGCUUUUGCUUUACGACACUUACAUGGAAUUUUGAUAUGCUAUGUUUUGUCAGUUGAUUUUAAUUUGCAGAUUAUGUCUUGAUUCUUUUCUUCAAGGAUACGUAAGUUUUAUUUUUACUUGCUGGGCGUUUCAAGUUUGAAACUUUAGAAGUAACACUGGUUUUCGUUUUUCAAUUAUUUUGUAUGGGUGCACUAUGUACUUGUAUCACUAGUUUGCUUGAGGAUUAGAAUAGUGUUUUUGUUGCUUAAGCUUUAGUGUACUACCUAUCAAUUCUUGUUUUGUGUGGUUUUUUUAUACCAACCUGGCACUUUAUCCUCACCAACAAUUUUUCAAUCAACGCAUGGAAUGGCUAUUUAAAAUCACUGGCUUCUUUAGCCUUGGUUGUUUUCUUGCCCGUUCUAUUGUUGAAAUGCUGAUUUCUUGGUUUGAUCUCCGCUAAGCAAUUGCUUUGUUUGAUCGAACUUGUACUUCUUUAAAGUUAUGUUCGUAUAUAAGUUACGCUUGAAUCUCGUAUAAGUAUCGAUAUGUUUGCCUUAUGAUGGAGAUAUUUAUUUAUUGAGUGGUCCCAUGGACAACACGGCAUAGCCAAGCCAAACAGGCCCUUUGUCGUCAACACUUGCCUUUACUUCUAUGGCAACCUUAUCUUUUUCUUUUUGUCACACGCGCAAAGACUAAUAGUGCCUUUGUUGUGUCUAUUGUAGUAUACAAGCAAAUAGCAUUUUCAUGCGUAUAUACAUUGGAGAUGUUUAUUGGUAGAGAUAUUUGAUGACUUGGGGGGAUAAAUCAUUGAUGGGUUGAUCAAAGGGGUUUGGGAUCAGUGGGCAUCUAAAUAUGAUCUAUGUUCUUUGUGGUGUUAAUAUCUAUAUUUGUUAUUUCCCACUCGAGAUUCAAGAUUUUAUCAUUUAUAUCUUUGAGUGUCUUCGUUAAAAAGUGUAGUUAUAUAAAGAGCAUUGGGUAUUAGUAACUGAUGAUAUAUGCAUUGGUCUUCGGGUAGUUUAUAUACCUGUUUUCUCAGUUUUGGCCUAGUCGGAGAGUGAGGGAGGAGCUGGAAGCUAAAACCCACAUGAAAUUUUUAUAUAAUAUUAAUAGAACAUAUUGUUUUUCUUAUAUAUCUGCAGUUGCAUUUUCCAUAGUCUAAUAAUAGGAUUUGAGAGAUUUUCUAAGGACAGUAUAUGAGAAAUCCUAUAUUUCGCCUGCUGGUGCCUUAUAAUUUUAUUACUUGUGUUUUUUGUUUGGAAAUGGAUAUUUUCUACUUUUAAUGUCAGAUAUUGGUAUAAAAGAUCCAGUGGAAAACCCAACAUUUAUCUACAGCUAGAAUGUAUUGACAAAACUACUAAAGUUUAAGUUUUUGUUUUGGUAAUUAACCCUUAUUAUUAUUGUGCAAAAGUUGUUGACAAAAUUGAUAAUGCUAUUAGUGAUUUUAUUUGGCUAUGGUUUUGUCUGUUUUUUUGGGGUACUCUUUCAUGAAUAAUAUGAAGCUUAACUUUUUUUACAAAGUGUUGUGUCAAUCUAAGAUAAUGAUUUAAGAAUUUUCAAUUGGAUAUCAGCAUUUCAUUUGCAGUAUACUUAAUUAAAGGAAGAGUUGCCAAUCUUAUGUCAUGUCAAAACAAUUGGGUUAUCUUUUUUUAGCAUUUUAAUUGUUUUACUCAUGUCAAUGAGCUAGUACUACCCUAUUUUGCUUAUCUUGUCCUAUGGUUCGUAUUUUAGCUUGUAAAUGUGAAAAAAUGCACUUUGUUUUUUUUUUUUUUCUCAGGGGGCUGAAAAUUGCCAUAGUUUUUUUCCAAGUCCACAAAUUCACAAAAGAACAAUCAGGAUUGAAAGAUAGGAAAAAUAUGAAUUGGUAUUUGUGGCCUUUUCUAUAUUUCAAUAUCAUUAAAUUUGUUGUAUUGCUUGACCUUUUUAUUCUUUUUGUGAAAAAUCAAUUAGUAUUUAUUUUGCUCCACAACACUUCUAUGGAUCUUUGAUGUGCUAGCUCUUGUCAGUUGAUUUUAAUUUCUAGAUUAUGUCCUGAUUCUUUUCAUUAAGGUUUGGUUAAAUUUUUUUUUGCUUGCAUGUGUUCAAAGUAUGACGCUUUAGAAGUAAUACUGGUUUUCUUGUUGCAAUUAUUUUAUAUAGUUACACUAUGUACUUGUAUCACUACUUUGCUUGAGGAUUGGAGUAGGUGUUUGCUUGCUUAAGCUUUAGUGUUAUUAGUUCUUGUUUAUUGCGAUAUUGUUAUACCAAAGAGGCACUUAAUCCUUACCAACAGUGUUUUGAACAAAGUAAAGAACGGCUAUUUGAAAUCUUAGCCUUUUCUAGAGCUGGUUGUAUCCUUGCCUGUUCCACCAUUAAAAUGUUGAUAUGUCAGUCCGAUCACCGCCAAGCAAUUGCUCUGUUUGAUCUAUCUUGUACUGCUUUAAUGUUAUGUUUAUAUAGAAGUUAAGCAUGAAUCUAGUAUUUAUCUCGAUAUGAUAAUCCAAUGCACUCACACAUCAUGCUUGUAAAUCGCACAUUUCAUGAUGGAGGCAGCUCCUAACCUUGACAUUCUUUCAUUCACUACCCCCCACCACCCACCACAACCACACGCACACACUGCACUGUCACGACCCCAAGGUUCCUCAAGGAUAUAAUAGUAAUUAUGUAUUAUAUGUAAUUCUCUGUAGUUGUACUUUGUUGUAGCAGUCUGUACCUUUUAGUUGUAUUGGAUAGAAUAGCCUGUAAAUAGGCUAGAUCAAUUAUAGAAUGUCAUGUUGUUGAAAGAUAUUUGAAUGUCUGUCUUCUUUCUCAAAUUCCUCUUUGAUUUCUCUAUUCUUCCCUCUUAAUAUUCUGUCAAUCACCUCUGUUCCCUCUCAAUUCUGUCUAUUAUCUCUUUCUUUCUGCUCUAAUUCUCCCUAUCUUCUUGUUUGAUCUUCCCCGAUUUCUCCCAAAUUCCAAUCUAACCCGUAGGUAAACCCUAGGAUCAUGAAAAAUGGUAUCGGAGCAUAUUGUUCAUCGGCUGUGAGUUAGGCGAACCAGGCGAUUAUUGCAGUGAUAAGGAGAUUAUGCAUCUCUCUCUCUCUCUCUCAUUAGAGCAACUGUUUUUUAUGUUUUUUUCUAUUGGAGAAAGUAGGAUUGUUCUCUGAAGGCGUAAUCAAUAAUAGAGCAUGGUAAAGGGGAAGCUCAAUGUGGGGGGUGCUUUAUUUUUCUUUCUCAUUUCUCUCCCACUUCUACUCUUGAUUUCCCAUGUUUUUGUUAGCUGAAACCUUUUCAUGCUUAGAAUGUCUCUUUAUUGUGUUUAUCCACAGACCUUAUUCGGUACUUUUGUAAGCCUUGCACCUUUAUUGAGUAAUGCCUAAGUCACAGUAUCAAGGUCUGACCCAAAUUGAGUAACCCAAAUUGAGCAAGGGUGGCCACUUUGCGAUAUUGUGCCAAUUCCAAUUUAAACUACCGUAGACUUGUUUCAUAGCUUUCAACUGAGCAACAAUGCAGAUUUUCGAGGCUGCAAGGAAUGUUUCUAUUGUGUUUAUUAGUCUUGGUUUCAUGUUUUCUACAUCAUGAAGUAAACAUGUAAUUUCUAAAUCAUUUAUGAUGAAAUUAUGAUCUUUUUAUGCAAUCCAAAUUUAACAUUCUCAUCUUGUUUUUUACUAUUUAUUUUGAGCUUUGGUGUUUGUUGUCCCUCCUUGCCAUUUCCAUUGGUGUUUGCUGUUUGGGUGCAUUCUUCGUGAACUUUCUCACAAGACAGAGGUUGUAGUGUUGUAGCUUCUUCGAUUGCCCAGGUUUGCUGGUAUUAUUGCAUUUUAGUUUCCUAAAUACUGAAUCUCUCCAUAGAAUAACUUUAUGUUGUUAAGUGUUUCCAUUAUCGGCCAUGAAACCAAGUUGAAUAUCUCAUUCGAUAAAGUUACAUUGAUUAGUCUAGCAGUUACCAGCCACAAAACCAUAUUAUAUCUAACAGUUAAAUAACUUUAUGUUAUUCUGUCUUGCAAUUACAAGCAUGAUCCAAAAAGGGUUCACAGUGUACAAGUUUUAGGUAUUUCGUCUCUAUGUUUUCCAAGAAUAUUCUGAAGAAUGUGCACUGUGACGAAAUCUGUUAGGAAUCUGGAUCGAGCACAAUCAAACACCGAAAUCAAUAGAAAAAUAGGAACACAACAAAGUUAAUGUGGUUGGGCAAUUGCCUACAUCGAUGAUCUCGCAAUAAUGCAAUAAUCCAUUAAGCAUAAUUUUUUAAAGGAAAGCUACAAGAUCCAUAAAGUAGUUUUUGGUCUGAGAUAAAUAAAAAUCGUAGAAUAGCCCUGUUUUAUGACAAAUCGAAAAAUCCCUCAUAAUCCUAACAAAUUUGGGUAAUUGUCUAUGAAACACCUAGAAUAUAACCUCUUGAUAAUUGGUUCGUCAAAUUUUGAAAACACAAAUAAUCUUGAGGGGCAGUCGAAUUAAUAAUUGAACCAGAGAUAUCUAUUUAUAGGUCACAAUCCUAAUUAGACUAGGCCUCGAGUAGCUCUCAUAUUCCCCAUUGACAAUCAAAAUUAGGGCCUACAUUAUAGACUUUAUAUUUAUCAAAACAGAAUUUGAGGAGUUAUCCUAACAAUUACCUUCUCAACUAAAAUUUCUGAAACAAUUUGCCUCUCUCUCUCUCUAAUACUUAAUGCAUUUUUAAUUCUUCAUUGGUAUGAAUUUGUUGGUUUAAUUUUUCACUCCCUUUUUUUGUCUGUCUUGCCUAUUUCAAUCAUGAUGCUAAAAUAGUCCUUCCAUUUUAAACUAAUUGGGCCUUGAUAGCUUUUUACUUUCCAAUGUUCAUGGUGCAACAAAAUUUUGUGGGAAAAUCUUUGACGCAGUUUCAAUGGAUGUCAAAUUAGAUGCUGUCAAGAGCAACAUAAUUGGAUUUUUGUCUAUUUUCAUAGUUUGGUGGGACUAUCUCAAAACUCACUGGCUUUAGUUUCUAUGAUAUGUUGCUUUCCUUUUUUUUUAUCUUAAUAGCUAAAACCUGAUCAUUUAAGCUUAAAAUGUUGUGCUAUGGACUUCUUCCUGGGAAGUCCAGAGCUUCUAAAACUGAAAAAUCUGGUUGUGAAUUAUUCUUACUUUUGAGCAGUAAAAGAUCAGAUUUCUGUUAAGCAACUGCUCUUUCAUUUCAAGCCAUGUAUACUUUAUAAUUAUCUCAUCCCAAGAAGUUGACCAUCUCUUUCCGUUGCAGCUCAGUUUCCAUAGCACUUCAGGCAUGGUUGUUUUCUUCUACUUGUGAAAGGGUGGUUGUUUGGUUGAGAAAGCACUUGUUCAAUCAUGUCAUCCACCAAGUUAGUUCAAGUCUUCCUUGCAAGUUGAAUAAUAUAUCCUAACACAGUUUUUCACAGUGGCUGAUGGUUGUAGGAAAUAUCAUUUUUCGAUGUUACUUGCACAUGGGAACUGGUUGGAUGUUGUAUGUCGACGGAGAGAGCCUGCCGGACUUCGAUUAUUGGAGAGAGAGAGGUGCCUCACUCCUUUCAAAGACCAGGGCAGCUGUGGUAUCAGUAUGUUUGAUUUUGCCAUUUUCUCAUUCAUUUAUUUUCCAAAUCAUCAUGCUUUUUAUUUCCACAACAGAAAUUGAAAACAAUAUUUGGUUGCUGCAAUUUUGUUAUUUUUCUUGGUGCUUAGUUGCUGUAUGGCUGUUGCAAUUUUGUUAUUUUUCUUGAUGCUUAGUUGCUGUAUGGCUGUAAUUUUGUGACAAAUAUUACAUCUUUGUAGUGUCACAGCGGAUAUACAUUUAUUUACUAUUGUUUGUCUUUAUUUAUCACUGUUUGUGUCUUUAUUUACCACUUUUAAGUAGCAUUUUUAGUGAUUUUAAGGCUUAUAUUUGUACCAGAAUUUCAAACCGCGGAAAACCGCACUGCAUUUGCGGUGCGGUUUGGCUGCCCCCAAACUAGACCGCGGUCUGAUUUGGUUGAAAAACUGCAUGACCGGUUUGGCAUGCUGAAAAUGAUUCAGACCGGCCAAACCGCACCGUGCACACCCUUAGUUAAACCCAUUUCAGCAAUAUGCUUGUGUUUCCUUUUGGGAACAUCAUUUUGUUAGUGUGUAUAGGGACAGGAAAAUCUAGGUUGAAUGCCAUAAGGAGAAAGAUAUGGCAGCAAUGCUUUAAAUUCCCCCCCCAUUGUCUGUAUGUAGGGCACGGAGUUUAAAAUUAUAUUGCAGCUCAGGAAAUUUAUGAAAGGUUUUGAAAACAUUUAGAGUGUCAGAUUUUUGUCUAAUAGGAUAUAACCAUGUGUAACGAGUAAAGACAUCCACAAAAACUACAUAGUAUUGAUACCCCUCAGUUGAUAGAACUGGGGAUGGACCCCACAAAUCUGAAUACGCUAUUUCUAGAGGAUGCUUUGCUGUGAUUUGACAAGCAGCAAAUGGAAGUUGAUGUAGUUUACCAAAUUUGCAGGAAUCACAAAGGACAAAUUAGUAGAGUUACAUGAAACAUGUAUUUUAUUGAGAACGUGUUUCAAUACAUGUAAUGAAGGAUGACCCAGCCUAUCAUGCCACUGUUUGCAAACUCUACUGUUAUUACAAGAUGACUGUGUGCUAGACAGAUUACUAAACGAAGACAAACUCUGUCUAUUACAACAAUUAAUAGGACAAACUGAAACAAACGUGGUAGGAAACCUAUUUAAGGUAACAACAGAGCAAUUCCUGAGUGUAGAAGAAGAAACAUCUGGAGGUUGAGCACGAGCAAGUGCUGCAACAAGUUGGUAAAGACCGUCUUUAAGCACCCCUCGGAAUAGUACCUGACUCGUUUCCUUAUCCUUGAUCAAACAAAAGGUGGAGUGAAAUUCAGCAACGACAUUAUUUUCAUUAAUAAGUUGAGACACACUAAUGAGAUUUUUCGUCAUGUUAGGCACGUGGAAAACAUUUGGUAAUGAAAGAACUGAAAUAGGAAUUGUAUGAGUAAGCAUUUGACUAAGACCAACAUUUGAGAUUGGAAGAGUCUUACCAUUACCGACAGCUACCUUAUCUGUGCCAUUGUAAGGAGAGUGAAGAGAAAGAUUGUUCAAGCUUGAAGUGAUGUGGUUUGUAGCACUUGAGUCUAGACACCAAGAUGAAUCACCAAACUGAUUAGAAUGAGGAUAAGAUUGAGAGUACUGAGAGCUAGAGUCAAAAGGUUGUGACACAUGUCCAUAGGAAGUCCCAGACUGAAACUCUAAAUCAGUUAAGUAGCCUCUCUUAGACACUUGAGAGGAAGCUAUGAAAGCCUGGAAAUCAGAUUGUGAUGUUCCUCCUCCUUCUUUACCAAACAAAUUAGAACUUUGCUGGAAGGUUCUAUCAAACCUAUGAUAACAACGAUUAGCAAAGUAGCCCAAUUUGCCACACAAUUGGCAAAAAAAUCGUCUGCCUGAAGAUCUGCCUUGACCUCGAUUAUUUCCUCCUCUGUAAUUACCACCUCGAAAUCCAGUAGAAUUCCUACCACCUCUGGCUGUUUGAGAUGCAAAAUUCACAAACAUCGUUGCAUUCUCAAAGUUAUUUAUUGUAGACACGUGAGAGACGGUCUUAGUUGACAGUCUCUGCUCCUGCAUCAACAGAAGAUAUUGCACCUUAUCUAUGUUAAUCUCAUCCAUUUGGUAAGUGAUCAGACCUAUGACAUUAUCAUAGUCAUCACCUAAUCCAUUCAAUACCGCCAUUAGCAAAUCCUUGUUGCUGAUAGGAUCACCAAUAGCAACUAAGGAAUGUCCUAUGGUCUUAAUUUUCAAAAGAUAAUCAUUCACUGAUAGAUCAUUUUUCUUGACAGACCUAAGUUGCUGUUUAAGUUGGAAAGAACGAGUAACGGUUUGUUGUGAAUACAAAUUCUCGAGGAAUAACCAUAUCUCUGAUGCGCUUUCACAGUGUAUUACCUGACCUAGGACUUCCUUGUCAAACGUUGAGAAUAACCAGCUUAACAGAUCUGAUCCAGCCAAGAUAAUCCGGAUUUACAGCCUACUGUUCUCCUUGAUCGGAGUACAAAUACUUAGGCGGUGGAGCAGUUAUGUCAACGAACUGCAUCAGAUCGAAUGCACGAACAAUAGCCAUGAUCUGGGCCUUCCAAUAGAGAUAAUUACUGGAAUUGAGUUUCGUCGGAACGAAACUAAAGGCCUUUGCUACUAUCGUAAAGUUCGACUGAGUAGCAACAAACAAGGUAGAAGAGGAGUGAGGAGGAUUGGACGAGAUUGAAUCGCGCGACGCCAUUGACGUGAGUCUUUUGCUCUGAUACCAUGAAGCGAGAGCUUCACAAUGGAAAGAAUGAAGACAAAGGUAGAAAAAUACCUCAGGCGCACUUGAAUUAAAAUUAGACAAAAUGAAAAUCCACCCAGUACACAAUGAGACGCUAACUUAUUUGCUGUCAGCUCUCAUAACCAUUCUAAUACUGUGCAAACUAAAUAACACAUAACCUCCUACAAAUAAUCUCUUACAACCAGCAUACACAGUACAACAAUGCUAUCACUAAUUAACAACAAAAACAUUUAGACGCCAAUAGCUUCAACACCACCACCACACACACACACUCUACACUGUCACGACCUCUAGGUCCCUCAAGGAUAUAAUAGUAAUUAUGUAUUAUAUGUAAUUCUCUUUAGUUGUACUUUGUUGUAGCAGUUUGUACCUUUUUCUUGUAUAGGAUCGAACAACCUGUAAAUAGGCUAGAUAAAUUAGAGAAUGUCAUGUUGUUGAAUGAUAUUUGAAUUUCAGUCUUCUCUCUCAUCAAUUCUCUCUCAAAUUCCUCUCUAAUUUCUCUAUUCUGCCCUCUCAAUAUUUUGUCAGUCACCUCUGUUCCCUCUCAAUUUUGUUAAUCUUUCCUUCUGCUCUAAUUCUCCCUAUCUUCUUGUUUGAUCUUCCCUGAUUUCUCCCAAAUUCUAAUCUAACCCCUAGGUAAACCCUAGGAUCAUAACAAAUGGUAUCAAAGCUGAUUAUUCCUCGGCCGUGAGUUAGGCGAACCAGGUGAUUGUUGCAGUGAUAUAGAGAUUAUGCAUCUCUCUUUGUCUCUCAUUAGAGCAACUUUUUUUUAUGUUUUUUUUUUCUGUUGGAGAAAGUAGGAUUGUUCUCUGAAGGCCUAAUCAAUAAUAGAGCAUGGUGAAGGGGAAGCUCAAUGUGGGGGGUGCUUUAUUUUUCUUCCUCAUUUCUCUCCCACCUCUACUCUUGAUUUCCUAUGUUUCUGUUAGAUGAAACCUUUUCAUGCUUAGAAUGUCUCUUCAUUGUGUUUAUCCAUAGACCUUAUUCGGUACUUCUGUAAGCCUUGCACCUUUAUUGAGUAAUGCCUGAGUCACAAUAUCAGGGUUCGACCCAAAUUGAGCAAGGGUGGCCACUUCGCGAUAUUGUGCCAAUUCCAAUUUAAACUACCGUAGACUUGUUUCAUAGCUUUCAACUGAGCAACAAUGCAGAUUUUCGAGGCUACAAGGAAUGUUUCUACCGUGUUUAUUAGUCUCGGUUUCAUGUUUUCUGCAUCAUGAAGUAAACAUGUAACUUCUAAAUCAUUUAUGAUGAAAUUAUGAUCUUCUUUUUAUGCAAUCCAACUUUAACAUUCUCAUCUUGUUUUCUACUAUUUAUUUUGAGUGUUGGCUUUGGUGGUUGUCAUCCCUCCCUGCCAUUUCCAUUGCUGAUUGCUGUUUGGGAGCUUCUUCGUGAAUUUUCUCACAAGACAGAGGUUGUAGUGUUGUAGCUUCUUCGAUUGCCCAGUUUCCACAGCACUUCAGGCAUGGCUGUUUUCUUCUACUUGUGAAAGGGUGGUUGUUCGGUUGAGAAAGCACUUGUUCAAUUGUGUCAUCCACCAAGUGUCAGAACUUGUGCCCCACUAUUCCUAGGAGAUGUGGGCCUCACCCCAACCCACUUCCAGGUACAUAUAGAAGAUUGGAUAUUAGUCAAUGAUGAUAUAUGCACUAGGCUCUGAGUAGUUCAUAUACUGCUUUAAUGGUGAAUAUCCAGCCUAGAAAGCUAUAUCUGGUUCUUGUCUGGAAUACAAAUGAUAUAUGUAAGUGGUGAUUGUUAUAUAAUGUCUCCCAAUUUAAGUGUUCAUGUAUCAAGACUUGUAUACGCCUCACUGCCAAAUUGAAGUUUCCUUGUUAUUGAGAUGAGUCACCGCCUAAG